rnacentral:rRNA from 1 species
AUCGCUUAUCCGGAUUUAUUGGGUUUAAAGGGAGCGUAGGCGGGUGCUUAAGUCAGUUGUGAAAGUUUGCGGCUCAACCGUAAAAUUGCAGUUGAUACUGGGUACCUUGAGUGCAGCAUAGGUAGGCGGAAUUCGUGGUGUAGCGGUGAAAUGCUUAGAUAUCACGAAGAACUCCGAUUGCGAAGGCAGCUUACUGGACUGUAACUGACGCUGAUGCUCGAAAGUGUGGGUAUCAAACAGGAUUAGAUACCCUGGUAGUCCACACAGUAAACGAUGAAUACUCACUGUUGGCGAUACACAGUCAGCGGCCAAGCGAAA